rnacentral:lncRNA from 1 species
UUUUAGUGAUAUUGGCCCAAUGACAUCCAUGCCCCACAUAGAAAAAGGCCAUGGAGAAGUUAUAAUGUGUAGAGGUGAAGGUGGUACAUGAAUCUUGUCUCUAUAAAUCUGACAUUUAUGGCAUUUUUUGGCGUAGUUGAUACAAUCCCCUUCUAAAGUAGACUAAUAAUAUCCAAACCUCAUUAUUUGUCUAGCCAUCAUGAAACCAUUAGCGUGCGUCCUACAAACACCCUCG